rnacentral:piRNA from 1 species
UAGGAAACCACCCAGAGCAGGAGCUGCCAU